rnacentral:tRNA from 1 species
GUGGGUGUAGCUCAGUUGGCAGAGCUCUUGACUGUGGCUCAAGUGGUCGCGAGUUCAAAUCUCGUCACCCACCCCA